rnacentral:lncRNA from 1 species
UUUUGUGCCUGGGCAUUGCUCCUCUGGUAUGCCAGCAUCCUUGUCCUCCACCAUGAAACAAAUGGAGGGAAGGCUUUCACUACAAUCAUCAAUGUCAUCUUCAGUGGAUUGUAAGUUCAUCUUAUCUUGAGGAAGCUGUUAUGAAUGUGCAUAAAAUUUGUUGGUAGUAUAAUGUGAUUGUAAAACAGAAGAUUUGCGUAUGAAAAAUGCAAUUUCCUUACUUAGUGUAGAAGUUGUUGUGUUGGAUUCUUGUGUACCUCCUCUUGUUUAGACUGGCCAACUUCGUUUUCUUAAAUCAGGUCUCUUAUCUUUCAGUGCACUGG